rnacentral:rRNA from 1 species
UGCCCUUCACUCUGGGACAAGCCCUGGAAACGGGGUCUAAUACCGGAUAACACUCUGUCCCGCAUGGGACGGGGUUGAAAGCUCCGGCGGUGAAGGAUGAGCCCGCGGCCUAUCAGCUUGUUGGUGGGGUAAUGGCCUACCAAGGCGACGACGGGUAGCCGGCCUGAGAGGGCGACCGGCCACACUGGGACUGAGACACGGCCCAGACUCCUACGGGAGGCAGCAGUGGGGAAUAUUGCACAAUGGGCGAAAGCCUGAUGCAGCGACGCCGCGUGAGGGAUGACGGCCUUCGGGUUGUAAACCUCUUUCAGCAGGGAAGAAGCGAAAGUGACGGUACCUGCAGAAGAAGCGCCGGCUAACUACGUGCCAGCAGCCGCGGUAAUACGUAGGGCGCAAGCGUUGUCCGGAAUUAUUGGGCGUAAAGAGCUCGUAGGCGGCUUGUCACGUCGGAUGUGAAAGCCCGGGGCUUAACCCCGGGUCUGCAUUCGAUACGGGCUAGCUAGAGUGUGGUAGGGGAGAUCGGAAUUCCUGGUGUAGCGGUGAAAUGCGCAGAUAUCAGGAGGAACACCGGUGGCGAAGGCGGAUCUCUGGGCCAUUACUGACGCUGAGGAGCGAAAGCGUGGGGAGCGAACAGGAUUAGAUAC